rnacentral:rRNA from 1 species
UACGUAGGGAGCAAGCGUUGUCCGGAAUCAUUGGGCGUAAAGCGUGCGCAGGCGGCCAUCCAAGUCAGUGGUGAAAGCCCGGAGCUCAACUCCGGAAUUGCCAUUGAAACUGUUUGGCUCGAGUACGAGAGAGGUGAGUGGAAUUCCCAGUGUAGAGGUGAAAUUCGUAGAUAUUGGGAAGAACACCGGUGGCGAAGGCGGCUCACUGGCUCGUAACUGACGCUCAUGCACGACAGCGUGGGGAUCAAACAGG